rnacentral:misc_RNA from 1 species
AUACUCUCAACCUUCUUGGUUUCUUUGACCAACGAAGGCUUGGACUUUGGAGGUUUUUCUUGCUGGCCUCUUUAGAAGCCAGCUCCUCCUAAAUGAAUGGGUGGGGUCCGCAUUGCUGAUCCUCGACGUGAUAAUUCUUCUACGUCUCAGUGUCAGCUCGGAACCCGCUUUGCAACCGUCUUUGGACAAAGACAAUGUUCGAGUUGCGACUCGACCUUACAAA